rnacentral:rRNA from 1 species
UUGUCCUACGGGAGGCAGCAGUGGGGAAUAUUGCACAAUGGGGGAAACCCUGAUGCAGCGACGCCGCGUGAGCGAUGAAGUAUUUCGGUAUGUAAAGCUCUCUCAGCAGGGAAGAAAAUGACGGUACCUGACUAAGAAGCCCCGUCUAACUACGUGCCAGCAGCCGCGGUAAUACGUAGGGGGCAAGCGUUAUCCGGAUUUACUGGGUGUAAAGUGAGCGUAGACGGUUCUGCAAGCCAGAUGUGAAAGCCCAGGGCUCAACCCC